rnacentral:tRNA from 1 species
GGAGAGGUGCGUGAGCGGUUGAAACGGGCGGUCUUGAAAACCGCUGAGCCCGAAAGGGUUCCGGGGGUUCGAAUCCCUCCCUCUCCGCCA